rnacentral:rRNA from 1 species
UACGUAGGGACCAAGCGUUGUUCGGAUUUACUGGGCGUAAAGGGCGCGUAGGCGGCGUGACAAGUCAAUUGUGAAAUCUCCGGGCUUAACUCGGAACGGUCAAUUGAUACUGUUGUGCUAGAGUACAGAAGGGGCAAUCGGAAUUCUUGGUGUAGCGGUGAAAUGCGUAGAGAUGUGGAGGAAUACCGAUGGCGAAGGCAGCCCCCUGGGCCAAUACUGACGCUCAUGCACGAAAGCGUGGGGAGCAAACAGG